rnacentral:rRNA from 1 species
CAAUAGCGUAUAUUAACGUUGUUGCAGUUAAAAAGCUCGUAGUUGGAUUUCUGGAGGGAGCGUCGGCCCGUAUUUACGAGUGCGUGACGUCUCUGUCCAUCCUUGCGGGAAGGCACGGCAUUGAUUUGUUGUGUCGGAUCGCAUCAUUUACUGUGAAAAAAUUAGAGUGUUCAAAGCAGGCUUUCGCUUGAAUACAUUAGCAUGGAAUAAUAAGAUAGGACUUUGGUGCUAUUUUGUUGGUUGAGCCUAAAGUAAUGAUUAAUAGGGAUAGUUGGGGGCACCUGUAUUGCGUUGUCAGAGGUGAAAUUCUUGGAUUUACGCAAGACAAACAGCUGCGAAAGCGUCUGCCAAGGGUGUUUUCAUUAA